CCUACGGGUGGCAGCAGUAGGGAAUAUUGCUCAAUGGGGGAACCCCUGAAGCAGCAACGCCGCGUGGAGGAUGAAGGUUUUCGGAUUGUAAACUCCUUUUGUCAGAGAGGAUAAUGACGGUAUCUAACGAAUAAGCACCGGCUAACUCCGUGCCAGCAGCCACGGUAAUACGGAGGGUGCAAGCGGUACUCGGAAUCACUGGGCGCAAAGAGCGCGUAGGCGGGAUAGCCAGUCAGAUGUGAAAUCCUAUGGCUUAACCAUAGAACUGCAUUUGAAACUGUUAUUCUAGAGGACGGGAGAGGUAGGUGAAAUUGUUGGUGGAGGGGGAAAAUCCGUAGAGAUCAAGAGGAAUA
rnacentral:rRNA from 1 species